rnacentral:rRNA from 1 species
AUGAACGCUGGCGGCGUGCCUAAUACAUGCAAGUCGAGCGAACGGACGAGAAGCUUGCUUCUCUGAUGCUAGCGGCGGACGGGUGAGUAACACGUGGAUAACCUACCUAUAAGACUGGGAUAACUUCGGGAAACCGGAGCUAAUACCGGAUAAUAUUUUGAACCGCAUGGUUCAAAAGUGAAAGACGGUCUUGCUGUCACUUAUAGAUGGAUCCGCGCUGCAUUAGCUAGUUGGUAAGGUAACGGCUUACCAAGGCAACGAUGCAUAGCCGACCUGAGAGGGUGAUCGGCCACACUGGAACUGAGACACGGUCCAGACUCCUACGGGAGGCAGCAGUAGGGAAUCUUCCGCAAAGGGCGAAAGCCUGACGGAGCAACGCCGCGUGAGUGAUGAAGGUCUUCGGAUCGUAAAACUCUGUUAUUAGGGAAGAACAUAUGUGUAAGUAACUGUGCACAUCUUGACGGUACCUAAUCAGAAAGCCACGGCUAACUACGUG